GGAUCAUCUGGCUGUGACAUCUGUUACCCCAUUGAUUGCCAGGGUUGAUUGGGCUGAUCCAGCUGCCUAACUGUCUUCUUUUUCCCUAUCCACUGAAGCAGCAUGCUGGUGGAGAGCAAUCUUCCUGGACACUGGAAGCAUCUUUCUUAGGUCAGAUAUAUGCAGGUAGCUGUGCUCUGCUGCUAGAACCUCCAAACAAGCUCUCAAGGCCCAUUUGUAGGAGAACAGAGGGCAAUCAAGCUAUGAAGACUUUCAGUUCAGUUCAGUUCAGUCGCUCAGUCGUGUCCAACUCU
rnacentral:snRNA from 1 species